CAUGGACAGCAUUGACAGAUUGAGAGCUCUUUCUCGAUUCCCUGGGUGGUGCACAGCCAUUCUUAGUUGGUGGAGCAAUUUGUCUGGUUAAUUAUGAUAACUGUGUCCUCUUGUUGUGUCGCUGGUUGUCUGGGACCAACCCCCACCUGGCUACAACCUCCCUUCAGGGAGUUGUAGACAGCAAGAAGGUCUCCCCUGAG
rfam:Picoides pubescens contig9851, whole genome shotgun sequence.